UAAUUAAAAAUUGGUAAUCACUUUUCUGAAAAAAAAACACAACGAUACACUCUCAUCAACCGAUAAUAUGUAAUAGUGAAUGGUAAUUGAAAAAAAAACUUAAAUGAACUUUUUCUUUACAUUAUUAUUCCAACGAAAAACUGAAAAAAAAUGCCAAAAACAUGUAUAAAAAAAAACGAAGAUGGAUGAGUUCAAUUCAAGAGAAAAAAAUCCACCCACAUACCAUAACCAUUAUCAUAAAUGAUUUGAAUACAAAAACAAAAAUAUUAUCCGAUUCAUGGAUAUCUUUAAAUCGAAUCAUCAAACAUUAUUCAUAUGUGUGUGUGUGUAUUAUAUAAGUUAUAAAAUAUGUAUAAAAAGAACUAUUAAAUCCGAUAAAAAAAAACAACGAACGGAUAAAACACUUUAUUGUUUCAUCAUCCUCUUUUGGGUUAAACAUUAUUAUUAUAGUCCAUACAAUCUAUAUAAAUGGUGGUGCUGGUGGUGGUGGUGGUGGUUACCCCGCUAUGAUCUGACACAAAAAAAAUGAAUAUUUUGUUUCAAAGUUCCGUGUAACAAAAAUAAAAAUAAAAAAAAAAAAAAAUACAAUCGUCAUUUUUUUUACAAACGUUUGAUGAUUGGCCGAUUUGGGCGCCGAAUCGAAACGGACAGGCGCAAUAUAUAUUGGCACCAAAGAAAACAAAAACAACACAGACAAACCAAACAAGACAACAAGAACAACGCGUAUUUUUUUUAUUGAAGAUUGCAGACAACUGGUGAUUUGAGAAUUGCGUCAUUGGCCUGAUGAUAUCAUCAUCAUCAUCAUCAUCACUAUCAACAACGACAACAACAACAACAACAACAUUAUUUCAUGAUGAGCUCAAUUCACAAUCAACAAUAACAACAAACCAUGAAAUGAAAAUGAAGAAAAAAAGUGAAAACUCAAUAUAUAAUCUUCAUUCUUUUCGAAUGAAUGAACAAAACGAUAAAUUCAAAGAAUAUCCGAAAAAAAUAUGGAUCGAAUGAAAAAGCAGUAGCAAAUGCAACAGUUAGAAAAUCAAAAAAAGAGAAAUAAAAAGCCCGACCAUAUUACAAACAUAUUCUAUGACAACAUUGACAACAAUCCAAUAAAAUUGUUCGAUUUUCGUUGAUCAUACUACAUCAAAUAGUCACCUGUAUCAAAUUCUAUUUCUAUUGAAAGUGAAAUUAAAAUUAUCAAUUGUAAUGAUUAUGAUCCAGAUGUCAUCAUCAAAAUCAUCUUCAAACAUCAACAACCAACAACUGUGUGUAUGUAUGUGUGUGUGUGUAUGAGUGAUCAGCAUGUUUCUAUAAUUUCAUCCAUUUUGAUGCAUCAAAAACAUAAAUUCAAUUCCAUUUACAAAUUCCAAUGUUUUUUUGUUUGUUUGUUAUUGAUGUGAUAUGGUGGAGGUGGUAGAUUUGGAUAUUUUUUUUUCUCUCUCUCUCUCUCUCUCUCUUACUGUAUAUCUACUAUAAUUUCUUGUGAUUGCAUCAAAUCAAAUCAAACAUAACGAAAUAAUAGAAAAAAAACUGAACGAGUCGCAAAGCCAUAAUAAUCACAUCGUCAACAUCGUAUAUUGCUUGUUUCUAUCAAUUUUCUCACACACACACACAAUCAAAAGCAAUGAUCAUUUUUUUGAUUCAUAAUUUUUUUUUCAAUUCCAUCAUGUCUUUAUUUGAAUGCAUAAUACUAUGGAAGCAACAAUCCAGUUCUAUUUCAUAUAUACGUGUGUGUGUGUGUUGUGUUCGUAUUUUCUUGACUCUUUGUAAUAAUUUUUUUUUCUACAUUGCACGUUUCAUUUAUUCAAUAGAUUCAUAUAUCGUAUAUCGUAUAUAAUAAUAUAACCGGGAAAAACAAGAAAAUCCUUACACAACAAACUGCAAAACAAAAAAAAAAAUAAUAACAGAACGACGAACAUUGAAACAGCAGAAAGAAAAACCUCGAAUCAUCAUCGAAUAUGAUGAUGAUGGCGACGACGACAACGACUUAGACUUUGACUUCGACUUAUGAAAAAAAAAAAAAAAUUAAAGAAAGAAAAUAACCAAGAACAUCGACAACUCUCAAAUUGAAAUAAUAAUAAUAAUAAUAAUAAUUUAAUUCAUAAAAAAAGAAGAGAAAUUUUCCUUUUUUUUAUAUACGAACACACACGCAUCGGCUGUUGUUUGUUGCAUUCAAGUGUUUUGUUGCUGUUGUUGUUGUUGUUGUUGUUUGUCGUUUUGUGGCGUGGUCCCUAAUUUUUUUUUCUACUAUUGUCGAACGAUGACAACAACAACAACAACAACAACAAGAAUGAAUACAACUACAAAGAAAUCUUCAAAAUUAUAUUUUCAAUGAAAAAAAAGGGGAAAAUGCAACAAAUAUAUGUGAACAACAUCAUCAUCAACAUCAACAUCAUCAUCGUUAUUAUUAUGAUCUUGGCUAUUCGUAUACUAUACUAUUUCAUUCGUCAUCAUAUUUGUUGUUUUUUCUUUGUUGAAAAAGAUAAUUUAAUAAAAUGUAAAUUAUUAUCAUCAGA